UACGUAGGGGGCAAGCGUUGUCCGGAAUCAUUGGGCGUAAAGAGCGUGUAGGCGGCCCGCUAAGUCCGCUGUGAAAGUCCAGGGCUCAACCCUGGAAUGCCGGUGGAUACUGUCGGGCUCGAAUCCGGAAGAGGUGAGUGGAAUUCCUGGUGUAGCGGUGAAAUGCGCAGAUAUCAGGAGGAACACCAAUGGCGAAGGCAGCUCACUGGGACGGUAUUGACGCUGAGACGCGAAAGCGUGGGGAGCAAACAGG
rnacentral:rRNA from 1 species